rnacentral:siRNA from 1 species
GAAAUAGACAAUGUGGUGACCUU